GACGAACGCUGGCGGCGUGCUUAACACAUGCAAGUCGAACGGAAAGGCCCUGCUUUUGUGGGGUGCUCGAGUGGCGAACGGGUGAGUAACACGUGAGUAACCUGCCCUUGACUUUGGGAUAACUUCAGGAAACUGGGGCUCAUACCGGAUAGGAGCUCCUGCUGCAUGGUGGGGGUUGGAAAGUUUCGGCGGUUGGGGAUGGACUCGCGGCUUAUCAGCUUGUUUGUGGGGUAGUGGCUUACCAAGGCUUUGACGGAUAGCCGGCCUGAGAGGGUGACCGGCGACAUUGGGACUGAGAUACGGACCAGACUCGUACGGGAGGCAGCAGUGGGGAAUAUUGCACAGUGGGCGGAAGCCUGAUGCAGCAACGCCGCGUGCGGGAUGACGGCCUUCGGGUUGUAAACCGCUUUCGCCUGUGACGAAGAGUGAGUGACGGUAAUGGGUAAAGAAGCAACGGCUAACUACGUG
rnacentral:rRNA from 1 species